AUGAAAAUCAUUUAUAGGAAAAAAGUACUUCACAUAUCAUGUUUUAAAGCAUAUACAUACCUUCCCCAUAAAAAAUCAUAUACAUACCUCUUGGAUACCAGGUAUAUAUUACUUCUUACAAAACAUGAGAAAGCAGUGGAGAAAUUUAGCUAUGUGAGCGAACUAAUCAAGUCAACUAUAACACAUUCCAAGACCAACAAGCAAUUAAAAUCAAAUAUAUUACUUCUUACUUGUAUGCAUGCAAACAUAGAUGGUAUUCAAUCUUUUCCGCUCCGAAUAAAUCUCUUAUGGCUCAGUUUUAGGUAG
rnacentral:rRNA from 1 species